GGCAGCAUGGCUCAGUGGAACGAGCAUGACCUUGAGAAUCAGAGAACAUGGGUUCUAAUCCCAGCUCUGCCA
rnacentral:tRNA from 1 species